rnacentral:lncRNA from 1 species
UUUAGGCAAUGUUAUUUGAACCGGACCGGACUGGACUGGCCAGUUGGAUCGGGAAUCAGCCAGUAUACUAAGGCUUUGAACCAAUUGACUUGAGAAUUGGUAAGGAUUGGUUAAAUUGAGUAAAAAAAUUGGUUGAACCCGAUUGUUUAUGUUUUGAAUUUUUAAAGAUUUUUAAUCUAAUCGGUUGAACCAAUUGGAUCAACGAAUCAAUAGUCUAAUUGGUUCAACCAUUGGUUCAAUUUAAAAAACAUUGCUUUAGGUAAAAAUAUUUAACAAACGUUGGAUUGGAUUUUCAUGGGAUGGAUUAUACUGAACUAAAUUAUUUUGAG